rnacentral:rRNA from 1 species
AUUUCGUGAAUCAUCGAAUCUUUGAACGCACAUUGCGCCCUCUGGUAUCCAGAGGGCAUGCCUGUUUGAGCGUCAUUUCUCUCUCAAACCCCCGGGUUUGGUAUUGAGUGAUACUCUUAGUCGAACUAGGCGUUUGCUUGAAAAGUAUUGGCAUGGGUAGUACUGGAUAGUGCUGUCGACCUCUCAAUGUAUUAGGUUUAUCCAACUCGUUGAAUGGUGUGGCGGGAUAUUUCUGGUAUUGUUGGCCCGGCCUUACAACAACCAAACAAGUUUGACCUCAAAUCAGGUAGGAAUACCCGCUGAACUUAAGCAUAUCAAU